GCCGGAGUGGCGGAAUUGGUAGACGCCCGGGACUUAAAAUCCUGUGGGAGAGAUCCCGUGCCGGUUCGACUCCGGUCUCCGGCACCA
rnacentral:tRNA from 1 species